CCCAACUUUGCUGGGAAGCCUCAGUGAAGACAGGGGCGCACAGACGAGGGUUGGCCGCUGGGAACUAGCGCCCCCUCCUGCGCAGGGGAGUUGGGGCCACACGCCCGCCCCGGACCUGCCCAGUAGUUUUUGAGCACUGGCGCUCUUUUCAAUUUGGGUCUGCGCAGGUUUAGAGGCCUGGGAGGCUAAGAGUCGACUAGAGGAAAAUGAGGGAGGCCAGCGGAGGCGGCCGGUGGCGAUGGUGAGUAGCAAAAACAGUGGAUACUUUGUGGAAAAACCCAAGUCUAGAGGCUUUUACCCCAUCUCGCCCUCACUCCCCUUCUCCGCCCACGUAGCCGGGGCGGGGGCCCAGCGCUCUGGGCUCACUCUCCCCCUUCUACGCCGGGAUGGGGAGUGAGCGCCAGGGCUCCAGAGGCUCGACUGCGAAUCGCGGCGCCCCCGCUCGCUCGCUCUUCCUCCUCCUCGUCACCGCCUCGACUCCGCUAAGCUUUCGGAGCGCGCUCGGGCGGCGCACAGAACACCCGGGAGGGAGCGGGAGCCGGAGCCCGCGAGGCCAGGGCGCGCGGCGGGCAGGCAGGUGAGCGGCGCUUGGCGGGCGCGGGGCCGGCGGGGCGGGGGCGCGGGAGGAGGCGGGUCUGCGCGCGGGGCGGUCUCCUCCCCCUGCUCUGACGCGGGGCCCGUGGCUCCCCGGGAGGAUGGACCCAGCUCGGCGCUCGCCCGGGCUUCCCCGGGCUGGAGAGCGCGCCUGAGUGCCGCCGCCCGCCGGGCAUGGGGAGCCGCUUCCUGGGCGGCUGCGGCUGCGGAGGAGGAUGCUUUCCGCGAGCAGAGAGCCCUGUAGUCCUACUCUGCUCUCCUACUCAGUAGAGCGCCCAAACACCCGACAAUAACACAGUUCACCCUGGCAAGACAGAGAUGCAGUUGCCAAUGGAGUCACUCUCAGUUUUCUACAAGGGAGGCUGGAUGGGGUCAGGUGGGAGGAGGGGAAAGAGAAGGAACUACAUUGUUUCCCUUUGGCUCUGAAAUAUUA
rnacentral:lncRNA from 1 species